rnacentral:rRNA from 1 species
GACGAACCGUGCGAACGUUAUUCGGAAUCACUGGGCUUAAAGCGCGUGUAGGCGGGCCGCCGCGUCGGCUGCUGAAAUCCCCCGGCUCAACCGGGGAACGGGCACCGAUACGGGCGGCCUCGAGGGGGGUAGGGGGGUCUGGAACUUCCGGUGGAGCGGUGAAAUGCGUUGAGAUCGGAAGGAACGCCCGUGGCGAAAGCGAGGCCCUGGACCCUUUCUGACGCUGAGACGCGAAAGCCAGGGGAGCGAACGG